rnacentral:rRNA from 1 species
GAUGAACGCUGGCGGCGUGCCUAAUACAUGCAAGUCGAGCGAACAGACGAGGAGCUUGCUCCUCUGACGUUAGCGGCGGACGGGUGAGUAACACGUGGAUAACCUACCUAUAAGACUGGGAUAACUUCGGGAAACCGGAGCUAAUACCGGAUAAUAUAUUGAACCGCAUGGUUCAAUAGUGAAAGACAGUUUUGCUGUCACUUAUAGAUGGAUCCGCGCCGCAUUAGCUAGUUGGUAAGGUAACGGCUUACCAAGGCAACGAUGCGUAGCCGACCUGAGAGGGUGAUCGGCCACACUGGAACUGAGACACGGUCCAGACUCCUACGGGAGGCAGCAGUAGGGAAUCUUCCGCAAUGGGCGAAAGCCUGACGGAGCAACGCCGCGUGAGUGAUGAAGGUCUUCGGAUCGUAAAACUCUGUUAUUAGGGAAGAACAAAUGUGUAAGUAACUAUGCACGUCUUGACGGUACAUAAUCAGAAAGCCACGGCUAACUACGUG